ensembl:lncRNA
GUCUUUUUGGCAGGCUGGGGGCUGGAGCAAAGGAUAGAGAGGUAUCCAUCUCUGCUCUGAAAGUUUAGUUCUCUUUCCUAAUUCUCAUUUCUCUCCUCUUCACCACAAACCUUUGCUCUUUGAGAUACAAAGCCAUAGAAAAAAAACUCAGGCACUGGAAUGACAUCUGGAUUUGAAUCCUAGGUGCUACAUCUACUAAAGAUAAACUCUUGACCACAGGCAUAUAAAUUCAUUCUGACUCAGUUUCUCCAUCUGUGAAAUGGCUCUAUGAUGAUGUUGUUCAUUUGUGUCGGACUCUUUGCAUUCCCAUGGACUGCAGUAUGCCAGGCUUCCCUGUCCUACACUAACUCCCAGAGUUUGCUCAAACUCAUGUCCAUCAAGUUAGUGACGCUAUCCAACCAUCUCAUCCUCUGUCAUCCCCUUCUCCUCACCUUUAAUCUUUCCCAGCAUCAGGGUCUUUUCUAGUGAGUCAGUUCUUCGCAUCAGGUGGCCAAAGUAUUGGAGUUUCAGCUUCAACAUCAGUCCUU